rnacentral:rRNA from 1 species
AGUGAACGCUGGCGGUAGGCCUAACACAUGCAAGUCGAACGGCAGCACAGUAAGAGCUUGCUCUUACGAGUGGCGAUUGGCGGACGGGUGAGGAAUACAGCGGAAUCUACUUUUUCGUGGGGGGUAACGUAGGGAAACUUACGCUAAUACCGCAUACGACCUACGGGUGAAAGCAGGGGAUCUUCGGAACUUGCGCGAUUGAAUGAGCCGAUGUCGGAUUAGCUAGUUGGGGGGGUAAAGGCGCACCAAGGCGACGCUCCGUAGCUGCUCUGAGAGGAUGGUCAGCUACACUGGAACUGAGACACGGUCCAGACUCCUGCGGGAGGCAGCAGUGGGGAAUAUUGGAGGAUGGGGGCAAGCCUGAUCCAGCCAUACCGCGUGGAUGAAGAAGGACUUCGGGUUGUAAAGCCCUUUUGUUGGGAAAAAAAAACAGCAGUUUAAUACCCCGAUGUUCUGACGGUACCAUAAGAAUAAGCACCGGCUAACUUCGUG